rnacentral:lncRNA from 1 species
AUUUUCUUAAAACAAUUACAUUCAAUAUAUUUAAUCAUAUUUUGCUCAAAACUCUUAUCAAUGAAAAUUAUUUGUACUAAAUAGAAUUAUACUAAAAUUUGUUAUAAACCAUUUAGUGAUCGACCCAUUUAUCAGCCCGUGCAGCAAGACGGGCCAAGCCCAUCCGCAGAAUCAUACUGGCGCCUAUCUACUCUUUUGUUUAUCUACAUUAUAGUUGGUGUUUAUCUUACUUAUUGCUAGUCAUUAUCUAGUUAAGGAUAAGUACGAUCUCAUGUCGA